rnacentral:rRNA from 1 species
AAUACGACUCUCGGCAACGGAUAUCUCGGCUCUCGCAUCGAUGAAGAACGUAGCGAAAUGCGAUACUUGGUGUGAAUUGCAGAAUCCCGUGAACCAUCGAGUCUUUGAACGCAAGUUGCGCCCAAGGCCUUUCGGCCGAGGGCACAUCUGCUUGGGCGUUAA